UACAGAGGUCUCAAGCGUUGUUCGGAUUCAUUGGGCGUAAAGGGUGCGUAGGUGGCGCGCUAAGUCGGGUGUGAAAGUUUCGGAGCUUAACUCCGGAAACUGCAUUCGAUAACUGGCGUGCUUGAGGACUGGAGAGGAGUACUGGAAUUCGAUGGUGUAGCAGUGAAAUGCGUAGAGAUCAUGAGGAAGACCAGUGGCGAAGGCGG
rnacentral:rRNA from 1 species